ACGGAAGGCAGCAGUGAGGAAUAUUGGUCAAUGGCCGGAAGGCUGAACCAGCCAAGUAGCGUGAGGGAUGACCGCCCUAUGGGUCGUAAACCUCUUUUGACAGGGAAUAAAGUGAGGCACGUGUGCCUUUUCGCAUGUACCUGUCGAAUAAGCAUCGGCUAACUCCGUGCCAGCAGCCGCGGUAAUACGGAGGAUGCGAGCGUUAUCCGGAUUUAUUGGGUUUAAAGGGUGCGUAGGCGGGAUGUUAAGUCAGCGGUGAAAGUUUGCGGCUCAACCGUAAAAUUGCCGUUGAAACUGGCGUUCUUGAGUGUAAACGAGGUAGGCGGAAUGUGACGUGUAGCGGUGAAAUGCUUAGAUAUGUCACAGAACCCCGAUUGCGAAGGCAGCUUACCAGCAUACAACUGACGCUGAGGCACGAAAGCGUGGGUAUCAAACAGGAUUAGAUACCCUGGUA
rnacentral:rRNA from 1 species